rnacentral:rRNA from 1 species
AGAACGAACGCUGGCGGCAGGCUUAACACAUGCAAGUCGAACGGUUGUAGCAAUACAGCAGUGGCAGACGGGUGAGUAACACGUGGGAACCUUCCUAGGGGUACGGAACAACUCAGGGAAACUUGAGCUAAUACCGUAUACGUCCGUGAGGAGAAAGAUUUAUCGCCCCUAGACGGGCCCGCGUAGGAUUAGGUAGUUGGUGAGGUAACGGCUCACCAAGCCUACGAUCCUUAGCUGAUCUGAGAGGAUGAUCAGCCACACUGGGACUGAGACACGGCCCAGACUCCUACGGGAGGCAGCAGUGGGGAAUCUUGGACAAUGGGCGCAAGCCUGAUCCAGCCAUGCCGCGUGAGUGAAGAAGGCCUUCGGGUUGUAAAGCUCUUUACCAGGGACGAUAAUGACGGUACCUGGAGAAUAACGCCCGGACAACUUCGCGCCAGCAGCCGC